rnacentral:rRNA from 1 species
GGAUUAGAUACCCUGGUAGUCCACGCCCUAAACGAUGAUCACUAGAUGCUGGAAGAUUCGACCCUUUCAGUGUCGUAGCUAACGCGUUAAGUGAUCCGCCUGGGGAGUACGGCCGCAAGGUUGAAACUCAAAGGAAUUGACGGGGGCCCGCACAAGCGGUGGAGCAUGUGGUUUAAUUCGAUGCAACGCGAAGAACCUUACCAGCCCUUGACAUCCAGUGAACUUUCUAGAGAUAGAUUGGUGCCUUCGGGAACACUGUGACAGGUGCUGCAUGGCUGUCGUCAGCUCGUGUUG